GACGAACGCUGGCGGCGUGCCUAAUACAUGCAAGUAGAACGCUGAAGAGAGGAGCUUGCUCUUCUUGGAUGAGUUGCGAACGGGUGAGUAACGCGUAGGUAACCUGCCUGGUAGCGGGGGAUAACUAUUGGAAACGAUAGCUAAUACCGCAUGAAAUUGCUUAUCGCAUGAUAAUUAAUUGAAAGAUGCAAUUGCAUCACUACCAGAUGGACCUGCGUUGUAUUAGCUAGUUGGUGAGGUAACGGCUCACCAAGGCGACGAUACAUAGCCGACCUGAGAGGGUGAUCGGCCACACUGGGACUGAGACACGGCCCAGACUCCUACGGGAGGCAGCAGUAGGGAAUCUUCGGCAAUGGGGGGAACCCUGACCGAGCAACGCCGCGUGAGUGAAGAAGGUUUUCGGAUCGUAAAGCUCUGUUGUAAGAGAAGAACGGGUGUGAGAGUGGAAAGUUCACACUGUGACGGUAUCUUACCAAAAGGCACGGCU
rnacentral:rRNA from 1 species